AGAACGAACGCUGGCGGCAUGCCUAAUACAUGCAAGUCGAACGAACUCUUCGGAGUUAGUGGCGCACGGGUGCGUAACGCGUGGGAAUCUGCCCUUGGGUUCGGAAUAACAGUUGGAAACGACUGCUAAUACCGGAUGAUGACGAAAGUCCAAAGAUUUAUCGCCCAGGGAUGAGCCCGCGUAGGAUUAGCUAGUUGGUGAGGUAAAGGCUCACCAAGGCGACGAUCCUUAGCUGGUCUGAGAGGAUGAUCAGCCACACUGGGACUGAGACACGGCCCAGACUCCUACGGGAGGCAGCAGUAGGGAUAUU
rnacentral:rRNA from 1 species